rnacentral:rRNA from 1 species
AGAGUUUGAUCCUGGCUCAGAACGAACGCUGGCGGCGUGGAUUAGGCAUGCAAGUCGAACGAGAAUUUAUAGAAUCAAGUCUUCGGAUAAGAUGAUAUAAAGGACAGUGGCGGAAGGGUGAGUAACGCGUGGGCAAUUUGCCCUGAAGUUGGGAAUAACCUCUCGAAAGGGGGGAUAAUACCGAAUAUGGUCACCUCGGGCAUCCGAGGUUGUCUAAAGGUGGGGAACCGCAAGGACCUAUCGCUUCGGGAUGAGCCCGCGUCCCAUCAGCUAGUUGGUGAGGUAAUGGCACACCAAGGCUUACGGGUAGCUGGUCUGAGAGGAUGGUCAGCCACACUGGGACUGAGAACUGCCCAGACUCCUACGGGAGGCUGCAGUCGAGGAUCAUUCGCAAUGCGCGAAAGCGUGACGAUGCGACGCCGCGUGCAGGAUGAAGGCCUUCGGGUUGUAAACUGCUGUCAUGGGGGAUCAAGGGUUACAACUAUAAUACAGUUGUGAAGUGAUAGUACCCCAGGAGGAAGCCACGGCUAACUCUGUGCCAGCAGCCGCGGUAAUACAGAGGUGGCAAGCGUUGUUCGGAUUUACUGGGCGUAAAGGGUGCGUAGGCGGUUUUGUGUGUCGAUUGUGAAAGCUCACCGAUCAUCGGUGGAAUUGCAAUCGAAACUACAGAGCUAGAGUACAGGAGGGGAGAGCGGAAUUCUUGGUGUAGCGGUGAAAUGCGUAGAUAUCAAGAGGAACACCGUUGGCGAAGGCGGCUCUCUGGAAUGAUACUGACGCUGAGGCACGAAAGCUGGGGGAGCAAACAGGAUUAGAUACCCUGGUAGUCCCAGCCCUAAACGGUGUGCACUUGGUGUGGUUGGGUUUGUCCCUAACCGUGUCGGAGCUAACGCGUUAAGUGCACCGCCUGGGGAGUACGGUCGCAAGGCUAAAACUCAAAGGAAUUGACGGGGGCCCGCACAAGCGGUGGAGCAUGUGGCUUAAUUCGAUGCAACGCGAAGAACCUUACCAGGGCUUGACAUGUAACUGCAAGCCCCGCGAAAGCGGGGUGCCUUCGAGGGUGUUACACAGGUGCUGCAUGGCUGUCGUCAGCUCGUGCCGUGAGGUGUUGGGUUAAGUCCCGCAACGAGCGCAACCCUUGUGACUAUUUGCUAGCUUGAUAGCAAAAUCAAAAGCACUCUAGUCAGACUGCCUGUGAUAAACAGGAGGAAGGUGGGGAUGACGUCAAGUCAGUAUGGUCCUUAUGUCCUGGGCUGCACACGUGCUACAAUGGACAGUACAAUGGGAUGCGUAGCCGCGAGGUGGAGCAAAUCCUCAAAACUGUCCUCAGUUCGGAUUGAAGUCUGCAACUCGACUUCAUGAAGCCGGAAUCGCUAGUAAAGGCGUAUCAGCUACGACGCCUUGAAUACGUUCUCGGGCCUUGUACACACCGCCCGUCACAUCAUGAAAGCCGAUUGCACCCGAAGUCGCUGAUCUAACUCGCAAGAGGGGAAGGCGCCCAAGGUGUGGUUGGUGAUUGGGAUGAAGUCGGAACAAGGUA